UACGUAGGGUGCGAGCGUUGUCCGGAAUUACUGGGCGUAAAGAGCUCGUAGGUGGUUUGUCGCGUUGUUCGUGAAAACUCACAGCUUAACUGUGGGCGUGCGGGCGAUACGGGCAGACUGGAGUACUGCAGGGGAGACUGGAAUUCCUGGUGUAGCGGUGGAAUGCGCAGAUAUCAGGAGGAACACCGGUGGCGAAGGCGGGUCUCUGGGCAGUAACUGACGCUGAGGAGCGAAAGCGUGGGAGCGAACAGG
rnacentral:rRNA from 1 species